rnacentral:rRNA from 1 species
GACGAACGCUGGCGGCGUGCCUAAUACAUGCAAGUCGAACGCACUCUCGUUUAGAUUGAAGGAGUUUGCUCCUGAUUGAUAAACAUUUGAGUGAGUGGCGGACGGGUUAGUAACACGUGGGUAACCUGCCCUAAAGUGGGGGAUAACAUUUGGAAACAGAUUCUAAUACCGCAUAAAACCUAACACCGCAUGGUGUAGGGUUGAAAGAUGGUUUCGGCUAUCACUUUAGGAUGGACCCGCGGUGCAUUAGUUAGUUGGUGAGGUAAAGGCUCACCAAGACCGUGAUGCAUAGCCGACCUGAGAGGGUAAUCGGCCACACUGGGACUGAGACACGGCCCAGACUCCUACGGGAGGCAGCAGUAGGGAAUCUUCCACAAUGGACGAAAGUCUGAUGGAGCAACGCCGCGUGAGUGAAGAAGGUUUUCGGAUCGUAAAACUCUGUUGUUGGAGAAGAAUGUAUCUGAUAGUAACUGAUCAGGUAGUGACGGUAUCCAACCAGAAAGCCACGGCUAACUACGUG